rnacentral:tRNA from 1 species
GGGAAUAUAGUUCAGUGGUAGAGCACUUGCUUAGCAUGUAAGCCCCUGGGUUCAAUCCAUAGUACUACUA